rnacentral:rRNA from 1 species
AUUGAACGCUGGCGGCAGGCCUAACACAUGCAAGUCGAACGGUAACAGGAAGCAGCUUGCUGCUUUGCUGACGAGUGGCGGACGGGUGAGUAAUGUCUGGGAAACUGCCCGAUGGAGGGGGAUAACUACUGGAAACGGUAGCUAAUACCGCAUAACGUCACAAGACCAAAGAGGGGGACCUUAGGGCCUCUUGCCAUCGGAUGUGCCCAGAUGGGAUUAGCUAGUAGGUGGGGUAACGGCUCACCUAGGCGACGAUCCCUAGCUGGUCUGAGAGGAUGACCAGCCACACUGGAACUGAGACACGGUCCAGACUCCUACGGGAGGCAGCAGUGGGGAAUAUUGCACAAUGGGCGCAAGCCUGAUGCAGCCAUGCCGCGUGUAUGAAGAAGGCCUUCGGGUUGUAAAGUACUUUCAGCGGGGAGGAAGGGAGUAAAGUUAAUACCUUUGCUCAUUGACGUUACCCGCAGAAGAAGCACCGGCUAACUCCGUG